rnacentral:rRNA from 1 species
ACUACGGGAGGCAGCAGUGGGGGAUAUUGCACAAUGGGGGGAACCCUGAUGCAGCGACGCCGCGGGGGUGAAGAAGCGCCUCGGCGCGUAAAGCCCUGUCAGCAGGGAAGAAAAUGACGGUACCUGAAGAAGAAGCCCCGGCUAACUACGGGCCAGCAGCCGCGGUAAUACGUAGGGGGCAAGCGUUAUCCGGAUUUACUGGGUGUAAAGGGGGCGCAGACGGCGAUGCAAGCCAGGAGUGAAAGCCCGGGGCCCAACCCCGGGACUGCUCUUGGAACUGCGUGGCUGGAGUGCAGGAGGGGCAGGCGGAAUUCCUGGUGUAGCGGUGAAAUGCGUAGAUAUCAGGAGGAACACCGGUGGCGAAGGCGGCCUGCUGGACUGCAACUGACGUUGAGGCCCGAAAGCGUGGGGAGCAAACAGGAUUAGAUACCCUAGUAGUC